AUGAUGAAGUGUCCACAGGCUUUACUAGCUAUCUUUUGGCUUCUACUGAGCUGGGUGAGCAGUGAAGACAAGGUGGUACAAAGCCCUCUAUCUCUGGUUGUCCACGAGGGAGACACUGUAACUCUCAAUUGCAGUUAUGAAGUGACUAACUUUCGAAGCCUACUAUGGAACAAGCAGGAAAAGAAAGCUCCCACAUUUCUAUUUAUGCUAACUUCAAGUGGAAUUGAAAAGAAGUCAGGAAGACUAAGUAGCAUAUUAGAUAAGAAAGAACUUUUCAGCAUCCUGAACAUCACAGCCACCCAGACCAGAGACUCGGCCAUCUACCUCUGUGCUGUGGAGGCACAGUGCUCCCUAGUCACCUGCAGCCUGUACUCAAAUUCUACAGCUGAGGCUCUGCAACUGUAA